rnacentral:lncRNA from 1 species
UUUCCUUCUCACUGUUCAGAGCGCCCUGUGCAUGCAAAUCAAGGAACUGACUUGAGAUGACUUUCAGAGCUCUGUCUCUUGUGUUUCUUUGGCCUGGAAGAAACAACGCCUAAGUUUUGAGCUGCAUGAAGCUGCCUGACAUCUAAGGAUCUCUGAAGAGAACUGGGACCUGAAACCCAUCUGAAAUGUAUCUGCAGACAGGUCAAGUUCAUCGAGAGUCACCUCCUGCCUGACACUCCAGUCAUUAAUUCCAGCUGUGCUAAAGAAUAGAAAGAAAAGCCAGUGAAACUGAAUGGGUA